GUGAUGGCCACUAUUACUGGGUUUAAAGCGUCCGUAGCUUGACUGUUAGGUCUCUUGGGAAAUCUUCGCGCUUAACGUGAAGGCGUCUAAGAGAUACCGGCAGUCUUGGAACUGGGAGAGGUAAACCGUACUUCGGGGGUAGGAGUGAAAUCUUGUAAUCCUCGAGGGACGACCUAUGGCGAAGGCAGUUUACCAGAACAGCUUCGACAGUGAGGGACGAAAGCUGGGGGAGCAAACGGGAUUAGAUACCCCGGUAGUCCCAGCCGUAAACAAUGUGCGUUAGGUGUGUCGGUAACCACGUGUUACUGAUGCGCCGAAGGGAAAUCGUGAAACGCACCACCUGGGAAGUACGGUCGCAAGGCUGAAACUUAAAGGAAUUGGCGGGGGAGCACCACAACAGGUGGAGCCUGCGGUUUAAUUGGAUUCAACGCCGGACAUCUCACCGGGUAAGACAGCUGAAUGAUUGUCAAUCUGAAGGUUUUACAUGACUAGCUGAGAGGAGGUGCAUGGCCGUCGUCAGUUCGUACUGUGAAGCAUCCUGUUAAGUCAGGCAACGAGCGAGACCCACGCCGACAAUUGCCAGCAGCAUCU
rnacentral:rRNA from 1 species